ACAAACUCAUAAAUUAAAUGAAACCAGUUGGAAAAGUACAUAUGGAACGCUAGUUGGCUGGCAGGCAAGCGGCAAGCAUCGGAGAGGACAAGACAAACGUAAGUACAACUAUACAGAAAAACAUGGCACAUGUGGAAGACCCGCCGUCGCACUCGUACGUCAACUCGGAAGUCUUAACAAAAAGAGAAAAUCCAGAAAAGCCACCCCAAACAAGUUUAAACGGUACAGAAGCGGGCAGAGAAACAGGAAACAGAAACUACACAAAUACGGUCCAUUAUUUAGAUACAGAGCCUUUCUAUACGCCACUGGAUCCUGGAACA